rnacentral:rRNA from 1 species
UCAUAUCGACGGCGGUGUUUGGCACCUCGAUGUCGGCUCAUCACAUCCUGGGGCUGAAGUAGGUCCCAAGGGUAUGGCUGUUCGCCAUUUAAAGUGGUACGCGAGCUGGGGUUAGAACGUCGUGAGACAGUUCGGUCCCUAUCUGCCGUGGGCGCUGGAGAACUGAGGGGGGCUGCUCCUAGUACGAGAGGACCGGAGUGGACGCAUCACUGGUGUUCGGG